CCGGCUUUCAGUGUAGUCUCCACUGACAUCACAGGGGGUGGGAGAGGCUCAUUAUUGGCAAGCUGGAACAAAAGUUCAACUCCCUACUUGGCUUUCUCUGAAAUCAUCCUGACAGGAUUAUUGGAAAUCCAGAUAAAAAGUUCCGUGAAAGCAAGGACCAUCCCUUUUCAUCUCUGUGUCUCUUGCCGCUAGCCUGGUGCCACGAAGUCAGUGCUCAGCACAUGUUUGUUGAAGGAUGUUGUUGAAGACCCCGCCCAUGGCUGUCCACCAUCUAGUCCAUCCGGAACACCUCAGCACCAAGUUCAGGCUUCCAUCUUCUUGCUGUAGCGAGGUCAGCUUGCGGUGGAAUCCUCAAGGAAAGACUCCCCACAGCAACACAACUUAAACAAAGUGGAUGGAGAGGAGAAAGGAAG
rnacentral:lncRNA from 1 species